rnacentral:rRNA from 1 species
CAUAUCAAUAAGCGGAGGAAAAGAAACUAACAAGGAUUCCCCUAGUAACUGCGAGUGAAGCGGGAAAAGCUCAAAUUUAAAAUCUGGUGGUCUUUGGCCAUCCGAGUUGUAAUCUAGAGAAGUGUUAUCCGCGCUGGACCGUGUACAAGUCCCCUGGAAUGGGGCGUCAUAGAGGGUGAGAAUCCCGUCUUUGACACGGACUACCAGGGCUUUGUGAUGCACUCUCAAAGAGUCGAGUUGUUUGGGAAUGCAGCUCAAAAUGGGUGGUAAAUUCCAUCUAAAGCUAAAUAUUGGCGAGAGACCGAUAGCGAACAAGUACCGUGAGGGAAAGAUGAAAAGAACUUUGGAAAGAGAGUUAAACAGUACGUGAAAUUGUUGAAAGGGAAACGCUUGAAGUCAGUCGCGUCUGCCAGGGAUCAACCUUACUUUUGUGAGGCGUACUUCCUGGUUGAUGGGUCAGCAUCAGUUUUGGUCGCUGGAUAAAGGUCAGAGAAAUGUGGCACCUUCGGGUGUGUUAUAGUCUUUGAUCAGAUACAGUGGCUGGGACUGAGGAACUCAGCGCCGCAAGGCUGUCUUAGGAUGCUGGCAAAAUGGCUUUAAUCGAC